rnacentral:rRNA from 1 species
UACGUAGGGCGCAAGCGUUAUCCGGAAUUAUUGGGCGUAAGAGCUCGUAGGCGGUUGUCGCGUCUGCCGUGAAAGUCCGGGCUCAACUCCGGAUCUGCGGUGGGUACGGGCAGACUAGAGUGAUGUAGGGGAGACUGGAAUUCCUGGUGUAGCGGUGAAAUGCGCAGAUAUCAGGAGGAACACCGGUGCGAAGGCGGGUCUCUGGGCCGAUACUGACGCUGAGGAGCGAAAGCGUGGGGAGCGAACAGG